UACGUAGGUGGCAAGCGUUGUCCGGAUUUAUUGGGUUUAAAGGGUGCGUAGGCGGUUUUUUAAGUCAGUUGUGAAAUACGGCAGCUUAACUGUCGAGGUGCAAUUGAUACUGGAGAACUUGAGUACAGACGAGGUAGGCGGAAUUGACGGUGUAGCGGUGAAAUGCAUAGAUAUCGUCAAGAACACCGAUAGCGAAGGCAGCUUACUAGACUGUAACUGACGCUGAUGCACGAAAGGUGUGGGGAUCGAAACAGG
rnacentral:rRNA from 1 species